rnacentral:tRNA from 1 species
GGAGAGGUGGCCGAGCGGCCUAAGGCGGCGCCCUGCUAAGGCGUUGGGCGGGUCCUCCCGCUCCGAGGGUUCGAAUCCCUCCCUCUCCG